rnacentral:rRNA from 1 species
GCUUGCUCUUAUGAAGUUAGCGGCGGACGGGUGAGUAACACGUGGGUAACUGCCCAUAAGACUGGGAUAACUCCGGGAAACCGGGGCUAAUACCGGAUAACAUUUUGAACCGCAUGGUUCGAAAUUGAAAGGCGGCUUCGGCUGUCACUUAUGGAUGGACCCGCGUCGCAUUAGCUAGUUGGUGAGGUAACGGCUCACCAAGGCAACGAUGCGUAGCCGACCUGAGAGGGUGAUCGGCCACACUGGGACUGAGACACGGCCCAGACUCCUACGGGAGGCAGCAGUAGGGAAUCUUCCGCAAUGGACGAAAGUCUGACGGAGCAACGCCGCGUGAGUGAUGAAGGCUUUCGGGUCGUAAAACUCUGUUGUUAGGGAAGAACAAGUGCUAGUUGAAUAAGCUGGCACCUUGACGGUACCUAACCAGAAAGCCACGGCUAACUACGUGCCAGCAGCCGGCAAUUA